GAGUUUGAUCGUGGCUCAGAUUGAACGCUGGCGGCAGGCUUAACACAUGCAAGUCGAGCGGAGAUGAGGUGCUUGCACCUUAUCUUAGCGGCGGACGGGUGAGUAAUGCUUAGGAAUCUGCCUAUUAGUGGGGGCAACAUUCCGAAAGGGAUGCUAAUACCGCAUACGUCCUACGGGAGAAAGCAGGGGAUCUUCGGACCUUGCGCUAAUAGAUGAGCCUAAGUCGGAUUAGCUAGUUGGUGGGUAAAGGCCUACCAAGGCGACGAUCUGUAGCGGGUCUGAGAGGAUGAUCCGCCACACUGGGACUGAGACACGGCCCAGACUCCUACGGGAGGCAGCAGUGGGGAAUAUUGGACAAUGGGGGGAACCCUGAUCCGGCCAUGCCGCGUGUGUGAAGAAGGCCUUAUGGUUGUAAAGCACUUUAAGCGAGGAGGAGGCUACUGAGACUAAUACUCUUGGAUAGUGGACGUUACUCGCAGAAUAAGCACCGGCUAACUCUGUGCCAGCCCG
rnacentral:rRNA from 1 species